rnacentral:rRNA from 1 species
AUUGAACGCUGGCGGCAGGCCUAACACAUGCCAGUCGAGCGGAUGAAGGGAGCUUGCUCCUGGAUUCAGCGGCGGACGGGUGAGUAAUGCCUAGGAAUCUGCCUGGUAGUGGGGGAUAACGUCCGGAAACGGGCGCUAAUACCGCAUGCGUCCUGAGGGAGAAAGUGGGGGAUCUUCGGACCUCACGCUAUCAGAUGAGCCUAGGUCGGAUUAGCUAGUUGGUGGGGUAAAGGCCUACCAAGGCGACGAUCCGUAACUGGUCUGAGAGGAUGAUCAGUCACACUGGAACUGAGACACGGUCCAGACUCCUACGGGAGGCAGCAGUGGGGAAUAUUGGACAAUGGGCGGAAGCCUGAUCCAGCCAUGCCGCGUGUGUGAAGAAGGUCUUCGGAUUGUAAAGCACUUUAAGUUGGGAGGAAGGGCAGUAAGUUAAUACCUUGCUGUUUUGACGUUACCAACAGAAUAAGCACCGGCUAACUUCGUG